AUGUAUGGUGCUGUGGAAGACACCACCAGUUCGAUUUAUGGCUUCCUUUCAUUAAUGUCAGACCUCAUAUUUGAAGAUGAUGAAGAGAGUGAAAAAGGUGAAGAAGAGACUCCUUUAAAAGUAAAAGAAGAAGUCCAACCACCAGUCAAGAAGAAAGAGAUUCAGAAAGACAAGGCAGAAAAAGAAGAGAAAACUGAAAAAAAGCCACCAACAAAGGGUAAUUUUAUAUAUAUAUAAGAAAUUAUGUAUUACAUGUAUAGUGGACAUGUUUCGUCUGAAUUAAGAAUGCAUGCAAACUUACAACCCUCAAUCCUAUUGAUGCUCUCAAUUAUAAUCAAUUGUUGGAUGAUGAAUAAACAUGCAAGUAAAUUGAUAGAUGAACAUGUUUGUUUUAUUUUUGACAUUGUUUAUUUUUAUUGAAGUAGUUGCAUCUGAUGCAUGUUUUUAAAAUUGAAAGUUUUCUGAAAAGCUGAUGCACAUUUUCUUAUUCUUAUCGUGUUUUGGUAUACAUUUUAAUGAGAAAGUGCAAGUUUUGUAAUCUGAUCCAAAUAAAGUUCUUCUCAAUAUCUAGCUACCACUGCUUUAGUAGUUCUUCCUUCAUUUUCAUUAAAUAUCUUUCCUAGCAUGACUCACUCAAAAGAAGAAUGAAUUAUUAACAUUAAAGGCAUAACUAUAAAUUGAAGACAAUGCCUUACAUAAUGAUAGAAUCAUUUUCAUUCAUAAUUUCAGAUAUUUUCCUUGCAAUUCACUGCGAACCUAUUCAUAGUGUAUUUUUUAAUCAUUUCCCUGUGAUAACAUGGAUUUUCUUCCAACAAUAGUUUGGGUUUGUUUUUUUUGUUUUUGUUUUUUUGUUUACUUGCAGAAAUUCAGAUAGAAAAGCCUGAAAAAGAAGAGAAAAUUGAAAAGAAGCUAUUACCUAAGUGUGAGUAUUUUUAAUUAUUUUUAUGGUAAUUUUCUAUAUAUUAGUAGGAAUGUGGAGAGCUGC
rnacentral:lncRNA from 1 species